UCCCGGGUAGCUCAAUCGGUUUAGAGCGUCUGACUCUUAAUCAGAAGGUUGCGAGUUCGAGUCUCGCCUUGGGAG